rnacentral:rRNA from 1 species
AUUGAACGCUGGCGGCAGGCCUAACACAUGCAAGUCGAACGGUAGCACAGAGAGCUUGCUCUCGGGUGACGAGUGGCGGACGGGUGAGUAAUGUCUGAGAAACUGCCCGAUGGAGGGGGAUAACUACUGGAAACGGUAGCUAAUACCGCAUAACGUCGCAAGACCAAAGUGGGGGACCUUCGGGCCUCACACCAUCGGAUGUGCCCAGAUGGGAUUGGCUAGUAGGUGGGGUAAUGGCUCACCUAGGCGACGAUCCCUAGCUGGUCUGAGAGGAUGACCAGCCACACUGGAACUGAGACACGGUCCAGACUCCUACGGGAGGCAGCAGUGGGGAAUAUUGCACAAUGGGCGCAAGCCUGAUGCAGCCAUGCCGCGUGUAUGAAGAAGGCCUUCGGGUUGUAAAGUACUUUCAGCGGGGAGGAAGGCGGUGAAGUUAAUAACUUCACCGAUUGACGUUACCCGCAGAAGAAGCACCGGCUAACUCCGUGCCAGCAGCCGCCGUAA